rnacentral:rRNA from 1 species
CAGCAGGCGCGCAAAUUACCACUNCCGGCACGGGGAGGUAGUGACGAAAAAUAACGAUACGGGACUCAUNCNNNGNNCNGUAAUCGGAAUGAGCACACUUUAAAGACUUUAACGAGUAUCCAUUGGAGGGCAAGUCUGGUGCCAGCAGCCGCGGUAAUUCCAGCUCCAAUAGCGUAUAUUAAAGUUGCUGCGGUUAAAAAGCUCGUAGUUGGACUUGUGUCCCNCGCUGCCGGUUCACCGUUCGUCGGUGUCUAACUGGCAUGCCGUGCGGACGUCUGUUGGUGGACGCGGCCGGCAAGCGGGGCCCCCUGGGUCUCGCGCGCCGGCGGUCCGGUGCAAUCCUACCGCGGUGCUCUUCACCGAGUGUCGAGGUGGGCCAGCACGUUUACUUUGAACAAAUUAGAGUGCUUAAAGCAGGCAUGGGUUCGCCUGAAUACUGUGUGCAUGGAAUAAUGGAAUAGGACCUCGGUUCUAUUUUGUUGGUUUUCGGAAGACGAGGUAAUGAUUAAUAGGGACAGACGGGGGCAUCCGUAUUGCGACGUUAGAGGUGAAAUUCUUGGAUCGUCGCAAGACGAACUAGAGCGAAAGCAUUUGCCAUGAGUGUUUUCAUUAAUCAAGAACGAAAGUUAGAGGUUCGAAGGCGAUCAGAUACCGCCCUAGUUCUAACCAUAAACGAUGCCAGCCUGCGAUCCGCCGGUGUUCCUCCGAUGACCCGGCGGGCAGCCCCCGGGAAACCAAAGCUUUUGGGUUCCGGGGGAAGUAUGGUUGCAAAGCUGAAACUUAAAGGAAUUGACGGAAGGGCACCACCAGGAGUGGAGCCUGCGGCUUAAUUUGACUCAACACGGGAAACCUCACCAGGCCCGGACACCGGAAGGAUUGACAGAUUGAGAGCUCUUUCUUGAUUCGGUGGGUGGU